UCAUAUGCUUGUCUCAAAGAUUAAGCCAUGCAUGUCUCAGUACAAGCCAAAUUAAGGUGAAACCGCGAAAGGCUCAUUAAAUCAGUUAUGGUUCCUUAGAUCGUACCCACAAUUACUUGGAUAACUGUGGUAAUUCUAGAGCUAAUACAUGCAAACAGAGCUCCGACCGGAGACGGAAGGAGUGCUUUUAUUAGAUCAAAACCAAUCGGUGGCGGGUUCGCUCGUUAUCGUACAACUUGGUGACUCUGAAUAACUUUACGCUGAUCGCACGGUCAUCGCACCGGCGACGCAUCUUUCAAAUGUCUGCCUUAUCAACUGUCGAUGGUAGGUUCUGCGCCUACCAUGGUUGUAACGGGUAACGGGGAAUCAGGGUUCGAUUCCGGAGAGGGAGCCUGAGAAACGGCUACCACAUCCAAGGAAGGCAGCAGGCGCGCAAAUUACCCACUCCCGGCACGGGGAGGUAGUGACGAAAAAUAACGAUACGGGACUCAUCCGAGGCCCCGUAAUCGGAAUGAGUACACUCUAAACCCUUUAACGAGGAUCAAUUGGAGGGCAAGUCUGGUGCCAGCA
rnacentral:rRNA from 1 species